GUUAAAACCGGAAGCUGUCUGUUGCCACGCCAUAGCCACUGGGGAGUUCUACAACUGAGCUGAUUGCUAUGGCUCUUGGACAGGCUAAGGGUCUCUUGGCUCUGUUUGCUGUUUGUAGGCACUACUAGUUUUCCUGUCAAAUGCCCUGACCCUGUGAGCAGGCUAGAGCCAAUACCCCUAAUAUUCCUGGCGCCUAUGUACCCCAGUGUAACGAGGGCCUGUACACCCCAAAGCAGUGCAAUGACUCUACAGAAUACUGCUGGUGUGUUAGCACCGAGGGACAGAUGUCGUCUCUCCAGGCUCUCCCAUUCCAUGUGUAGUGAGACUGUCCCUGAGCAACCAGAACAAGUCCCAAGCAGCCAGAAGCUCCCAGAGAAGACUUCAAGACCCAGUGUUACUGAUGUAGCAGGACCUGUUAACCAAUACCCCUGUGGGUUGCCCUUAUGGGUUCUGAAGGCCUCUCAGAAUGUUGGACCUCCUAUUGGUGGAUGUGUCUGGAUUGCCACCCAUCUCCAGAAUCCACUGGUGGACAGCAAGGUAAAGGAAACACAUCUCCCUCUGCUGCUGAACAGCAAGAACUGGCCCCAUGGAUCAAGCAGAGUGUUUUCAAGCAGUGGUUUUCUCCAACACCCUCUACUCCCCAGGAGACACAGCCCAGCCCUCUGUUAGUGUUGUAUCCCACGUUAUCAGUAAACCUGUGCCUAACCAGUCUCUCCUUAGACCAAGUGCUGGAUCCAAAGGAGUGCAGUAUCCUAUCACCAGGUAAUGUACUGUUACAACUACAUGUCUACAGUAGUCUAAUUUGGAUGACUGACAAAUGUUUCUCCCCACAGACAUUGGCAAUUGAUGCAUGAAUGAUGGGCUUUAAGUGUCAAUUUGUAUGGCAUUCCAAAUGUAAUUUGCUUUUAUUACUUGGUACUAAUGUUUUUCUACAUGACGUUCAUCCCCCUUGGUCAUGUGCGAAUGUCCAAUAAACUUUUGGCAUGGAAUUAUAUUUUGCU